CUGAGGGUGGGAAACCUCAGGGACCAGCCUGAGCCCUGCUGCAAGGGGAGGGUGUGUCACUGGUGGGAGCAGCUCUUCCUGUUGGCUAGUUGGCUAUUCUGAGCAUGUCCCCUCCUCUCCUAGGUUGCUAAUCCAAACACCAGGAUCUCCUGAUACUCUGCCUCCUCAGCUAAAAGAUGGUGGAUCCCUGGGGGCAGGGUCAACAGCGGAGCUCAGGAGCUCCUCCGGCCCCUGGCUCUGUGCCAGCCUCUGUCACUAUGUAGAGACUUUAAACCAAUCUUUUCCCCAUACAAACCUGGAGCCCCUAUUUGGCUGGACUUUACCAUUUUCUUUAGUGUUAGUUAUAGGUGGACACAAUACCUUUAUUUUAUUUUUAAUGUGGUGCUGAGGAUCGAACCCAGGACCUCACACAUGCUAGGUAAGUGCUCUUCCUCUAAGCCACAACCCCAGCCCUUAUUAUUUUUUUAUUUUUAAGACAAGUUCUCGCUGAGUUGCUGAGGCUGGCUUUGAACUUGUGAUCCUCCUGCCUCAGCCUCCCCAGUUGCUAGGAUUGCAGGCACGGGCCACCAUGCUGGGGCAAAAGAGGUUGUUUUGAACUAGUUAGAGGUGAUGCUUGCACAACGCCGUGACUGUCCUGGAUUCUACUGAAAUGUACACGUUCAUGGAGCUCAUUUUACUAUGUGAAUUUCACCUCCAUAUAAAAAACAAACAAUAAUGACAACAACAAACCAAAUCAGGCUACAUAGACCCAGGCAAGGCCCCUUUCCCUGGCAGCACCAGCAGGCUCUUAUCAGCUCCAUACGAUGACCAGUCAAAGGUCCUGGGCCUUACAGAAACCAGCUGACCUGGGAUUCCAGGUGGGCCUGGCCCGGCCUGGCCUGUCUGGGACAGUGACAUAACCACUCAAGGGCCAGCAUCCCCUAAGCAGAGCCAAGGAGCCACCGGGGGCCUAUCCCUCUGUGCUCAGGAAGGAGGGUCAUUGAUGCUGCUGGACCUCAAUCUCUGGCCCAGUCCGGCCACCCUGGGACCAGGCUGGGGAGGCACAGGAUCAGCGAUAUGCCCUGUGAGCCCUACUGGAGCUUGCCGCCGAUGAACAGAUGGGCAUUAAAUCUCCUUGAUUAUCUGGUGGCGUGUACUCCCUGAAGUGGUGUGCAAUUGUUCCUGCAACCCUCUGAUCCAGUCUUGUUCUUGCUGAGAGUUGUUUUGGUGGCCAGGAGUGUAUCAAAGAUGUGGCUGAAAGAAGGAGGUGAGUGCAGUAAGGAGGAGACCUGGGGUUCCGCCCUACCCUGCAGGGAAAUCCAAAAGGCCUGCAUUGCUCUAGAGUCUGCACGGACCUGAAGCUGCUUAAACCUUCUCUGAGCUCCAGCUGCUGCCUGGGACCCAGGGGGGCCUGGUGUGUGCCGGGCUGUGCGAGCUGCCCACUGCGUCCACUAGAUGGCGGGCUGGCCGCGCAGGUGAAUGGCCGCGCCUCCCUGUGAGCCAUUCUAGCUUUUAAGGCUCACUUGCCAGUGGCUGGCGUUAAGGCACCUCUUGGAGAAGACCCGGGCCCAGACAGGUGAAGUGACAUACCCGUUAUCCUUUACUACCUAAGUGAUAUUGGCUGUUAUACUCGACAUAUCCAAACUCUCCUUUGAUCAUUUGGUCUCUGUUUUAGAGGUAUCUUUUGAAAGCCUGGUGAAAGCUAUAAGACCCUCUCCUUGGGAAAGUUCGAAAAUAAUUUCAGGAGCUUCAAGAACACUCCAGAAAUAGACCCAGAACCUGUCUGACAUGUCCAUAGACUACAAAUUCCAUUUGGAGUUUAUUUUUAACUCCUAACUUUCUGUUCCUGAAAUGGAUCUAACCAUGUUCACUCUGAAAUUUUUUAAAAUUGAGCACCUACUAUGUUCUAGGCACUGUUCUGGGUGCCAGAGAUAUUUGUCUUUGGGGAGAUUUAGUUCUAGAGAGGGAAAGCAAGUAAUAAAAAUGGACAAAAUUAGUGUUGUCAGCAUUAACACUGUUCUCUAAAUAUUUCCAGUUCUCCUUCCCUUUCUGGUCCAUGGUAGGAUCUUACUUCCAGCUCCUCAUAUGGUUGGGUGAAACCAGGUGACCAGUUCUGACUAAUGAAUCAUGAGAAGCCAUGUGUUACUUGGGCAUGAGCAUCUAAUUGCUGUCGCGAGGCCCUCCAGAACUUUCCCUCAUACCUGACAUGGAAACAGGAAAUAUUUAAGAAGGGGUUCAUUUAAUCAGCCCAGGUCCCUGAGACCUAGCAUGAGUGAGAAAUAUUAGAUGUUCCUCCACUUACAAAGGAGGAACCCUCCUCUCACAAAUUGAAAGUACCAUAAAUUGAAAAUGCAUUUAAUCUACCUGACCCACCAAACAUCACAGCUUAACAACAAUAGCACAUCAUGAUGUCAAAUGUUUUCCUAUGUGACUGGGAGCUAUGGCUCACUGCCACUGCCCAGCAUCAUAAAAGAGUGUUGAACCAACUAUCAUGAGGCCUGGGAAAAGAUCAACAUUUGAAGUACAGUUUGUACUGAAUGCUUGUCACUUUUGUACUAGGCAAAAGUCAAAGACAUUGUAAGUUGGGGACCAUCUUUGCUUUUUAAAGUCACUGAGAUUUUUGGGAGAUGUUUGUUACUGUAGCAUAACCUGGCCUGUUCUGACUGAUAAGAUAAUAAAUAAAUAAUAGAACAUGAUUAUAAAGAUUGCUAGAAGGAGAUCAAAGCAGCAGAAAAAAGACACAGUUGAGGAGGAUAAAUGGUCCUGGAAGUGUGAGGAAGUGGAUGGAUGGGGAGGAAGAUGGAACCUUUUAAACAGAGCCAUUAAGGUAGCUUCACUGAGAAAGUGAUCCCUGAAAAGAAAAUGAGCUCUGCAGGGAUCUGGGGCAAAGAGCGUCCCAGCCAGGGCGAGAGCCAGGGCAAAGGUCGGAUGUUUCUGAUGUGUCCAGAAAACAGCCAAGAGGUUGGUGUGGCUGGAGCAGAUGAGGGCUGAGGUCAGAGAAGUAAAGGGGCCAUUUCUUGUGUAGCCUCGUGGCCACAUAAGGACAUCGUUGUCAUGUUCUCUGAGUGACAUGGGGGGACCCAUGGUGGGGCUUCGAGCCCAAACAUGACUUGAUAUGACUGACAUUUUUGAAGGACCCCCGUGGCACCUGAUUGAGACUAGGCGUGGUGGGGGGGGCAGCGUGGGAGUGGGGAGCCGAGGGACAGUUACCGUGCUGGGCGGAGGUGGGCUGGAGGCUGUUGGAUGUACGACUGGAGUUGGGAGAAUAUGAAUUUGGGAGUCACUGGUGGAAAGAAGGUAGCAAAAGUUCAACGUUUUAAAAACACUGUUGGUUAUAAAAAAGAACAUUGCAGUGCAGCGUUAUACACAGCUGGACCCUUAGGACUAGAGAUGAAUAUUGUGGAAAGCGAUGCGGUUACCCCUGUGAGGAACUCUGAUGGUGUCAGGGAGCCACCGUGUUCCCUUUGCUUUAGGAAAAUCAAGGACAUUCAUUGUCUUUUCUAUCAUGCAAUGAUCCCUCUGGGCUAAGAUUUUUUGAGCUAAAGCCUUAGAACAGUGGUUUUCCCCAAGAAAUGGACACAUUUCCUAUUUCCUGGAAAGAUAAAUUGUGAAAAAAAUUCUGUGUCCCUUUUCUCUUCAGGUGCCAAGGAGCUCAGAUACCAAUCGGAAACUAUAAUACCUUUGUUUUUAUUUUCCUUCAUUCCAACUUCCACUUUCAACUCUUGAUUUUAGUAUUUCGAUGUUUUAUUUAUUUAUUUAUUUAUUUAUUUUGGAGACAGGUCUUGCUAUGUUGCAUAGGCUGUCCUUGAACUGGACUCAAGAGAUCCUCCUCCCUCAGCCUUCUGAGUUAACUGGGACCUCAGGUGCACAUCACUGUGUUAGUUUACCUAGUAUGUUCUUGCUGUAAAUUCUCUCAAAUUCCAUGUGGAAGGAGGCAGGUAUACUGGGGAAAAAAAGAAUCAGAACUGAACAAAGUUACUUUUUAAUGACAAUACAACUCAUUUGUAAGUAAAAAGAUAUUGAAAAAUGGUCUCUAAAGUAAUUUUCUCUAGUCAGUAUCCUACUCCAGCUGACUUUCAUUAUGAAAUUGAAGAUGGGUCCCUCAAGGAAAAAUAAUUCUAGGCCUGAAAAAUUAUAUUAAAAAAAUCACACUUUAAAAUUGCAGCAUAUAUGAAAAUUCACAUAUUUUAAAGGAACUAAGCAGCCCAGCAUAAGAUACAGAGAAUAAUAUGCAAAAGAAGUCACAAAACACAAAUGUAAAAUAAACUAUGUGGCAUUGUCUUUAUGUCCUGGAGCGAUGAUUUAAAGCUCAGAAAAAGGAGGUGCAUUUUCCUGUUUGGACAGGCUGCUCUUUGAGUUUCGGUGGCUCACCUUUUUCUGGAAUCCUCUGGAGCCAAUCUCUAAGACCCCACGAAGCCUUCUUGACUUUACCACAUCCCCUUCAGCCGCUGUUUUAUUAAUCUGUCAAUAUUGGAUGUUCAAAUCAAUUCCUUGUUUAAACUUCAAUUGAUUUAAAGAAGGAAGCGGUGUAAAUAAUACAUAGCAUAUGUAAAUUCAUGGAUCUUCUGUUUUCCUAAUGCACAUUCAAAUCAAUUCAUAAGCCUUAAAAUAAAAAGUGGUGCGGUGUGUUCCCCUGAAAUGAUCUAUUUCACCCCAUGCUGAUCACACAGCGGGGUAGGGAGAGGCAGGCUCUGUCCUGGAGGGUAAAUGUACCCAGUCCUUGGAAGUAGCCAGUGGACCUUCAAACCAACUAAAUUAACUCGGCUGAUGAACUAGAUGGACUGAGAGGCGGGUCCAGCAUGUUCUCCAUGUAAGUCAGCAGAGAGUGGAGCACCCCCCUGCCCCACCCCAGUUUGGGGUUGGGGACAUCUUGCUGCAAUGUGGUCUCUGUUAGCAUCUAGCUCACCUCUGAUUCCUGUUUGUCAUGGUGCUGGCCCAUUUUGACAAGCUGUAGAAAUGAUGGGGGGUAUUUGGUCUCCAGUAGUGAAUCUUAAACUUGCCAUUUAUAUAUUUUUUGGAACCAGGAAUUGAACUCAGGGGUACUUCACCACUGAGCCACAUCCCAGCUCCUCCCCCCCUUUUUUUUUUUGUAUUUUAUUUUAUUUAGAGACAGGGUCUCAGAGUUGCUUAGAACCUUGCUAAAUUGCUGAGGCUGGCUUUGAACUUGUGAUCCUCCUGCCUCAGCCUCCCUAGCUGCUGGGAUUAUAGUCGUGAGCCACUGCACCCAGUUUAAGCUUACCUUUUAUGACAGAGGUCCUCAACUGCAAGCCCUGAUCCUGCAGCGCCAGCAUUAUCAGGAACUUGCUAAAAAUGCAAGUUCUUGGACCCCAGCCCAGACUUAAGGAUUAUGAUCGUCUAGAGAUCAUAUGGAUGCUAAAUUUUGAGAACCACUGUUCCAGAAGAAACUCCAUCGAUAGACAGUCAACAGGGUCAAGGAGUUUCAGGACAUGAAUCUGUAGACGGUUAACCUCAAACAAUCACAAAAUCACUGACCUUCAGUUUCCUCAUCUGGAAGGUAAGAAAAGGGCUGAGUCAGAGCGAGAUUCUCAGCCCUGCUGGAACACGGGGGGCAGCUUUUCUGGUGGUGUUACACAAAAGGGUAUAGUAUAAUCCUAUUUAUGACUCCAUUUACAUGAGGUCCUGGAAUGGGUCAAAACUAUUCUAUGAUGGGAAUGAGCAAAACAAUAGGGUGCAUGUGUUUCUUGAAAAUUUAUUAGAUAGUACACGUAAGACUUGUGCAUUUUAUUCUAUGCAUAUUUUUUCUUUAAAAGAAAAAAAAGGACUAUCAAUGAAUAUUCUAGUUAGUUAAUGACAAGUAUUUAUGGGUGAAAGGUCCUAAUGUCACAAUUCAUUUGGAAAUGUGUCAGAAAUAGGUUAGCUCAUUGGAUGGAUAGAAGGCUGGGUAGCUGGAGCAGGGCUUGGUGGCACACUCCUGUAAUUCCAGUGGCUGAGAUAGGAGAAUCGUGAGUUCAAAGCCAGCCUCAGCAAUGGCAAGGUGCUAAGCAACUCAGACCCUGUCUCAAAUAAAAUACAAAAUAGGACCAAGGAUGUGGCUCAGUGGCUGAGUGCCCCUGAGUUCAAUCCCCAGUACCAUCCCCCCCCCAAAAAAAAGAAGGCUGGGUAGUUAGAUAGAUAAGUGACAGAGUGAGUACAAUCAGGUGUUAAUUGUAGCAUCUAGGUGGUGUAUAUAUGGUUGUUUAUCCCAAAAUUUCUUUCAACAAAAUUUGAAUUUUUUUCUUUUAAAAACAAAUACUACUGAGGAUUGAACUACUAAAAUAUAUCCCUGGCCCUUUUUACGCUUUAUUUUGAGAUAAAGUCUUAUUAAGUUGAGUAGGCUGGCUUUGAACUUGGCAAUCCUUCUGCCUCAGCAUCCCAAGUAGCUGGGAUUACAGGUGUGCAUCACCUGUGCCUGGCAAGUUUGAACAUUUUUAGGAUAAAAUGUUGAGGGGGAAAUUCUGAAGCUGACCCACCUCUAUUAAUGAAAUUUUUCAUGAAUAAAAAUUCUACCUUUGGAGAGAGAUGUAU